GAGUUUGAUCGUGGCUCAGAUUGAACGCUGGCGGCAGGCUUAACACAUGCAAGUCGAGCGGGGGAGAUUGCUUCGGUAAUUGACCUAGCGGCGGACGGGUGAGUAAUACUUAGGAAUCUGCCUAUUAAUGGGGGACAACAUCUCGAAAGGGAUGCUAAUACCGCGUACGCCCUACGGGGGAAAGCAGGGGAUCACUUGUGACCUUGCGUUAAUAGAUGAGCCUAG
rnacentral:rRNA from 1 species